UAAGGCUUCUCUCAGGGGGGAAGGAGAACAGAAAGUGCUGCUUCCCGGCCACAGACAGCCCUGUGUGGGCACAGUGGAGGAGGAGGAGGCGACACCUGUUCCCAUUUCCACAGAGAUCUGCAGACAACUGUGGAGCAGGAGGAAGGAUUCCUGCCUCCCAGACCUAGAAUGUGGGACGAUUUGAAAGAACAAAACCUUGCCCUUGGAUUGUAUGGGGUUAACCACAGGGAUACCCAGCAGAAGGCAGGCUGUUCUCACACUUACAAUUAGUCCAUUAAUCAUGUCCUGGGUGAAGGAAGCCAAGUGUUGGGCCUUCUGAGCUGUGGUUGCUGUCUGCUGGUACUUAGAAGACCGAACGGUUCUGAGAUAUUAGAAGGCGCUAAGCAGUGCAUUGUUUGCUUGGCCUCAACAGAGGACAGAAAGGGAUUUGAGAAUAAAAUAAAUUAACCUGGA